AACGAACGCUGGCGGCAUGCCUAACACGUGCCAGUCGAACGAGACCUUCGGGUCUAGUGGCGCACGGGUGCGUAACGCGUGGGAACCUGCCCUUAGGUUCGGAAUAACUCCCCGAAAGGGGUGCUAAUACCGGAUAAUGUCUUCGGACCAAAGAUUUAUCGCCUUUGGAUGGGCCCGCGUUGGAUUAGCUAGUUGGUAGGGUAAAAGCCUACCAAGGCGACGAUCCAUAGCUGGUCUGAGAGGAUGAUCAGCCACACUGGGACUGAGACACGGCCCAGACUCCUACGGGAGGCAGCAGUGGGGAAUAUUGGACAAUGGGCGAAAGCCUGAUCCAGCAAUGCCGCGUGAGUGAUGAAGGCCUUAGGGUUGUAAAGCUCUUUUACCCGGGAUGAUAAUGACAGUACCGGGAGAAUAAGCGCCGGCUAACUCCGUG
rnacentral:rRNA from 1 species